rnacentral:rRNA from 1 species
GCGAACGCUGGCGGCAGGCUUAACACAUGCAAGUCGCGCGGGCAUCUUCGGAUGUCAGCGGCAGACGGGUGAGUAACACGUGGGAACGUACCCUUCGGUUCGGAACAACUCUGGGAAACUGGAGCUAAUACCGGAUACGCCCUUAUGGGGAAAGGUUUACUGCCGAAGGAUCGGCCCGCGUCUGAUUAGCUAGUUGGUGGGGUAACGGCCUACCAAGGCGACGAUCAGUAGCUGGUCUGAGAGGAUGAUCAGCCACACUGGGACUGAGACACGGCCCAGACUCCUACGGGAGGCAGCAGCGGGGAAUAUUGGACAAUGGGCGCAAGCCUGAUCCAGCCAUGCCGCGUGAGUGAUGAAGGCCUUAGGGUUGUAAAGCUCUUUUGUCCGGGACGAUAAUGACGGUACCGGAAGAAUAAGCCCCGGCUAACUUCGUG